rnacentral:tRNA from 1 species
GUCGUGGUUGCCGGGUGGUUAAGGCGUUUGACUCGAAAUCUAAUUGGCUCAGCCCGCACAGGUUCAAAUCCUGUCUACGACG